rnacentral:rRNA from 1 species
UACGGAGGGUGCAAGCGUUGUUCGGAAUCACUGGGCGUAAAGCGCGUGUAGGUGGUCUUUUAAGUCUGGUGUGAAAGCCCGGGGCUUACCCCCGGAAGGGCACUGGAUACUGGGAGACUAGAGUACCGGAGAGGAAGGUGGAAUUCCUGGUGUAGCGGUGAAAUGCGUAGAUAUCUGGAGGAACACCGUUGGCGAAGGCGAGCUUCUGGGCUGUCUCUGACGCUCAAGCGCGAAAGCUGGGGGAGCAAACAGG